rnacentral:rRNA from 1 species
CAUGCAGGCGGUUAGACAAGUCAGGGGUGAAAUCCCGGGGCUCAACCCCGGAACUGCCUUUGAUACUGGAAGUCUUGAGUAUGGUAGAGGUGAGUGGAAUUCCGAGUGUAGAGGUGAAAUUCGUAGAUAUUCGGAGGAACACCAGUGGCGAAGGCGGCUCACUGGACCAUUACUGACGCUGAGGUGCGAAAGCGUGGGGAGCAAACAGGAUUAGAUACCCUCGUA